rnacentral:lncRNA from 1 species
GAACAAGACAGUUGGUGAAUACCAUUCACUGAUGUUGUCUUCCCAUAUUUACCCACUGGGUUCAAUCCUCUGCUCCCUGCUGUGCCCAGGGAAUUUUUGGAACUCCAGAGCUGUAACCUGGCUGUAUAAAAAGUGGCUUUGUAAAUUGUCCAUUGUCUUAAGCAUUCCCUGAUUUUUUUUUUUCUGUUUCAUUUCACAGUAGUUUUGGAGUUGGAUUCACUAUGUCUGUUCUUUAAAAAAAAAAAAAAGAGAGAUCCCCAGAAGGACAAAACACCAACUAAAUAAAAAGCCCUAUUUGUUUGAAAAAUGUAAUUUGUUAGCUAUUAUGUUACCUUCAUAUUUUCAUUUUAGCCUGUUAUUAUUAACCGAGAAUCAGUCUUUGCAGAGACUAGAUCCUUCCAUCUCAUACAGCAUGGCACUGAGGGUUAAGAAAACAUAUUUCAGAUUUCAUUUUACUUUUUUUUGUUUUGCUUACUUUGUGCCUUUGUAUGUGUUCUCAUCUAAGUGUUUUCAGUUUUUAAAUAAAUAUUUAAGAACCAGAUCUAUAUUUGGAUGCAUGCAUAACCAACAUCACCUUCAGUUAAAUCUGCAUUUUGCAACAAAUGGCAGAAAUUGACCUUGAUAUUUCCCAGGAGGACAAAUUUAUAGAUAUGAAAACAAAAAGAAAAAUCCUGCACCAAGAUAGCAGAUGACUCAGUACAGCUUCUGUGGUGAAAUGAAGACCAUUCCCAAGGCCAGCACAUUUAUGAAAAGUACAAUAAAUUAUGUAAUACCACAAAUCAGCACAGAUAAUAUGAGCUUGUGCCUUGUUCUUGAUGCCGGCAAUUUUUAUGCAUCUAAGCCCUCCUGUGUUUUACAUUCACUGGGUUUGUCCAGAAAAGCUAAAUGUUCUGGAGAGACCCCCCCCCUCCCCACCGCGUGCCCCCCUCCAAGGUGACUCUGUCAUUUGAAGUCCUACUUUUGCUUUGUUACAGAUGCUUUGUGUGGAAAGGAAUACAAGCAGCCUUUGGGUUUUUUGGGGCAGGGGGCGGGGGGGUGGCAAUUAUGUAAAGAGAGUUAGAGAAAACAUUGAUGAAGAAUAUCAUUUAAAUGGUUAUGAUUUCACCUUCCUGAUUCAGCAAAUCUUGUUAAGUGAGCAGUUUUUAUUUUCAUUUUAAUAGGUUUUGCUUUAGCUCUGCAUCGUCUCAACUGUUUCUUCCUUACAGCUGCCCUUUUCCUUUGCUCCGUGGUGGCACUGGGCUUUACUUUCAAGGAUCUAGUUGGAUUAGUAGGUUAGUUGGAGUUUGACCUCACUGCUUUCUUCUAACCUCUCCUUGGGCCAGCACAGAAAGGCUGUGUGGGGAAGCAAAGGAGGAAGUAGGAAGUGGCAGAGAGUCCAGGAUGGCAUGUCAGUAGAGAGCGGGGCAUCCAGAGGCCCCCAGGAGAAGGCAUAGGGCCCUUUCUCAGGGAUGGGCCUGCCCCUGGGCUCAGCCUCUUCUCCCCACGUUCCUUGCAGCCUCCCGGGAAGAUUCAGUUGGUCGUCCCCUCCACCCUCACUUUAUCCCAGGAGCUCCACACCUGCCUCCUCCUCGUCCGCCCUGAACCUCCUUGGAGGGUGGGCCCGCUCUGACCGCUGCCCUGUUGUUUGCCAGUCCCUAAGACAGGUCCUCCUACGCUGGCCUUAGUGCACAAAGGCGUGCGGGGGAAGAAGCACAAGCCCGGCGUGGGAUGGGGCGCCCACAGGCGGCCAGCACUAUACAGGCGCUGUACGUCCACGGACUCCCUCAGUCCUGAAAAACUGCCCCUCUCAGGCGGGGAACCUCACCUGUCAGUGAGGUUAGGGAAUUUUCUCCAGGUCACUUCCAUGCCCACAUUCUUGCUAGUGAACCAUGGCCCCGAGUGACAGAGUCUAACAAAGCUCCAAGGCCAGGGGAUUGUGGCUCCCACGCCGGAAGCCUCUGAGCCUUCUCUGGCUCCUGCCGUCGGAGGUCACCUCAGAGGAGGGGCGUCUUCACCUUGUGUUCCUGGAGAAGCUGAGCUGCAGGGGACAGCGUCUGGGAGGGGACACCAGGUGCAGCUGGUCUGGGUCUGUGCUCGGGGAGGCCAUGUCCCCCACCCCCGCCAGGUGUCUGUCACCCCCAGCGCUCCCACCCCCUCGUGGCUGAGGACUAGUGAGGGAGUCGGAUGAGAGUCCUUAGAAUUGGAUCUGGACAUGCCCUUCCCAUUAAAAUGGCAACGCCGUUUCUGUGGGGAAUGAAGGCUGCGGCAGAGUCUUGGGGUGGGGUGUGGGGGGGUGCUGUGUGGCGCGUAGGCCGGCUUCCUCCUCCUCCAGUAAGGACUCUCGGGCUGGAAAGGCACCGGGGGCUGCGCGUCGCUCUUGGGCGUUUUCAGAGCACCUUUACAGAUAUUCACUCUUCUUGUUGUACAAGGGAGCAAACUGAGACUCACAGAAGUGGCUUGUCCCAGAAAAAGGAGGGGAGAGCUGAAGUAAAACGGAGAGUUUGAAAUCUGCGCUAGCAAACUUUUCUCGGUGACACUGUGGCCUUUUCUUUAACAUCAGGUCCUGCUGGACAUCACUCCCUCUCAUAGCUGUUUCUUUUCCCCUUCUGUAUUUUCUCUGUCUUUGGGGCACAGUCACCUCGUUUAUUAUUGGUAUCGAUUAAGGAAGACUUAGAAAAAACUUGAGAGUUGAUUACGUACACAGUUGACUCUUGAACGAGGCAGGGGUUGGCGCGCCAACAGCAUGCCAUGGAAAAUCCAUGUAAACGUAGAGUCCACCUGCUGUAUGCAUGGGGUUCCACAGCCUCGGAUUCGUCCAGCUGAGGAUGGCUUAGUACUGCAGUGUUUCCUGUUGAAAAAAACCUUGUGUGUGAGUGGACCCAUGCAGUUCAAACCCAUGUUGUUCCAGGGUCAACUAUACGACCUUCUUUGGGUUCUGGGCUGGCAGAAAAAUAAAAACCAUGAGCUUUUUUUUUUUUUUUUUUAAUAGCUGCUCCCACAGCAUAUGGGAGUUCCCAGGCCAGGGAUGGAAUCCGAGCCACAGCUGUGACCUACUGCCACAGCUGCAGCAACACCAGAUCCUUUAACCCACUGCACUGAGAAGGGAUCAAACCCUUGCCUCCACAGCAACCUGAGCCACUGCAGUUGGAUUCUUAACCCAUUGUGCCACAGUGGGAACUCCAAACCAUAAUAUUUUAGAACCAUACUUCAGUGUGGAAAUAUGUAAUGUGCACAGAAAAGAGAUGUGUUCCUUUUCAGGUGUGUAGUGAUGACCCUCAGACCACUUUCUAGGAACUCAUUUGUGUAAGGCUCACAACUAUGUAUUUUCCACCUAUUGUUGAUAAGAAUAUGAGUAUCACUCACUGAGAAGUUUUAAGAGGAAUAUGUAUUUGUGUAUAUAUAUGUGUGUGUGUAUAUAUGUUUCUGUACAUUUACCCACGUAUAAACAAACAUACAUUUAUAUACAAAAAAAAAAAACACAGGGAGUUUCCGUCGUGGUGCAGCAGAAACGAAUCCGACUAGGAACCAUGAGGUUGUGGGUUUGAUCCCUGGCCUAGCUUAGUGGAUGUUGCCGUGAGCUGUGGUGUAGGUCGCAGACAAGCUCGGAUCUGGGGUUGCUGUGGCUGUGGUGUAGGCUGGCAGCUACAGCUCCAAUUAGACCCCUAGCCUGGACAAAUGUUUGCUUCUUAUUGCACUUCUGUGGCUGGUUUCUUUUAUACUUGAGAGUGCCAUUACUAUGGUUCCUUACUCAGCGUAAUAAUUUCUGUCUGUAUGAAAUUAUGCUGAUUGCUACCUGCAAGGCUCUGUGAUCUCAAUUGUGUGAGGAGAAACAUGGUGCCAUUCAGAUAAUAUUCAAAAUUGCAAAUAUUCAGAGUAGGGAUGUCCACAGAAGUCUUUCCCCCACAUUAUAUGGGAGAAAAAAAUAGAAGCAGGAGUGCUGUAAUAGUAAAUUGGCAUAAAAGAACCAAAACACUGUGGGGUGAUGGUUAAAAGUUAAAAUGAGGAAGACAGCAUUCUUGUUGAAAGUUCUGACCCAUCAGUGGUAUAAACUCGAUCACCUCAAACUCUGAUUUUCGUGUCAAAUCAGACCGACAAAGAACUGUCAGAUUUUCAGGUUCUGCUGGCAACCUUUUUAGAAUCCGCUCCCUGAUGUUUAUGAUUGGAGUGUCUACCUCUUGACACUCUUUGAGCCAAGCUAUUUUUAAGCAUCUGCACAGAUUUUUGCUUCCUGGAGCUUCAGGACUCGUGAUGUCUGUGUCAGAGUCAAGCUUCCAGCUGUUUAAAUCACAGAGGGCAGAGCUGGUCCCAUCUCUUGGGGAGUUGGAGCCUCUAGACCCUGGUGGAGUUAGGAAGACAGAGGGAGGGGGAGAGAAGCCCAUAGUCAGGAUUCUGGAGUCUGUCUCGUGAGACCCACCCUAGGCAUGGACUCCUGGGAAUUGACACGACCCACUUCAGGGGUUGUGAAGGUUCCUAAUGAGUCAGUUCUGCUUCUUUUAGUUGUUUGUCUGUAGAGAAAAUUGAGUGCAGUUUCUUGGCACUGUUGACAUUUGGGACCAGAUCCUUCUUUGUCUUGGGGGUGAUAUCAGGUGCACUAGACAGUUUUUAGGAGUGUCCCUGGCCUUUUCCCACUAGAUGUCAGUAGUGCCCCCCUUAGUUGUGACAAUCAAAAAAAAAAAAAAAAAAAAAAAAGAGACAUGUCCAGACAUUUUGAAGUAUCCACUGGGAUGAGAGGGCAGAGCAAAA